rnacentral:rRNA from 1 species
UACGUAGGGUGCAAGCGUUAAUCGGAAUUACUGGGCGUAAAGCGUGCGCAGGCGGCUCCUUAAGUCAGAUGUGAGAGCCCCGGGCUUAACCUGGGAACUGCGUUUGAAACUGGGGAGCUAGAGUGUAGAAGAGGGGGGUGGAAUUCCAGGUGUAGCAGUGAAAUGCGUAGAUAUCUGGAGGAACACCGAUGGCGAAGGCAGCCCCCUGGGCUAACACUGACGCUCAUGCACGAAAGCGUGGGGAGCAAACAGG